AGGGGCGCGCCCACGCCGGCCGGGCCCUCCGCGCUGGCUUCAAGGAGCAGGCGGGGACGCUCGCUUCCCACCGCCGGGCACGUGCAGGGAAGGGUGAGAGGCUCAUUAGCAUGGCAGCCCCUCCCACGUCACCGCCCGCUUCAGUUUCUCCCACUGGCGCAGAUCGGAGGGGACCGAGCGGGGAGCAGCUCCUGGCAAACAGAUUCUUUUUCCCAGCCCUCCUCCAGUGGAUGACCUGCACUGGGUUGCCUUGGGUGUCCUGGGUGUGGAAACCAAGGAUCUAUCAAGCUAAGCUUCAUUUCAACUACAAGGACCUUUGUACCAUUUGUACCAGUAAUAGUACAACUGCACCCUCCCUUCCAAGGCAGCUUUUCAUCAUGGCAUGAGACAGCUGAGAAACAGGUUCUGAACAUCCAGCUCUAUAACAUAUAAGAGGCUGAUUGUUGCUUAAGGUCCCAGCAAGGGGGCAAAGGAGUGAGUUCACAGCAAGAGGAACUGACAAAAUAAAGUAGCACUAGUUCCAGUUAA